GAAUUUUGAAAGCCAGUGUGAUAUCACUUGCAGGUUACUUCAGGAGUAAGAUCUAAUAUCCUCUCAUCUACUGCACGGACUAUGGGGUUUUUUCAAAGGAACUAGGAGAAAGAAAUCCUGCUGACCUGAGCAUGAGAUUCCUGUGACGGGGUGAAGCAGCCUCGCACUGAACUCUCAGGGCUCAGCAAGGGAUACCUGGCUGCCGAGGCCCUGCCCCUGCAGUUCUACCGAGCAUGCCCAGGCUGCAGCUCAUCUAUAAAAGCCUGAGGAGAGGCUCAGUCUGGGCUGGCGGCUGGAAGGGAAGGACCUAGAAAGGGAGCUCCUGACCAGCAUCCACCAGCGACCGUAGGAGAAGCCAGCGAAGGCACUGGGGCCAGUUGGGACAUCGCUGGGGUCGUCCACAUAGGAGGAGAUGCUCCUGGGAAUGUGGAGGACCCUAGUUCCAGCCACACUGGGCAAUAAAAGUUGAUCCCAUUACACUUUUGGAAGCAAAGAAUGGAGCAGGUAUGCAGCUGUGUAUGUUGGCCAGGGAAAGAAUGAGGAUUACUAGGGUGGGGUAUGUCUACACUACAAAGUUAAUUCGUUAUUAGUUCGAAUGACAGUCAUAGAAUUUGAUACAGGAUGUGGUCCCUGGUUAACAAGGCAGACAAAGGAUGGAACAUGCGCU